UACGUAGGCAGCGAGCGUUGUUCGGAGUUACUGGGCGUAAAGCGUGCGCAGGCGGCUUUGCAAGACAGAUGUGAAAUCCCCGGGCUUAACCUGGGAACUGCAUUUGUGACUGCAUGGCUGGAGUGCGGCAGAGGGGGAUGGAAUUCCGCGUGUAGCAGUGAAAUUCGUAGAUAUUCGGAAGAACACCAGUGGCGAAGGCGACUUACUGGACACAUAUUGACGCUGAGGUGCGAAAGCGUGGGGAGCAAACAGG
rnacentral:rRNA from 1 species